GAUGAAGAACGCAGCAAAAUGCGAUAAGUAAUGUGAAUUGCAGAAUUCAGUGAAUCAUCGAAUCUUUGAACGCACAUUGCGCCCGCUGGUAUUCCGGCGGGCAUGCCUGUUCGAGCGUCAUUUCAACCCUCAAGCCCCCGGGUUUGGUGUUGGGGAUCGGCUCUGCCCUUCUGGGCGGUGCCGCCCCCGAAAUACAUUGGCGGUCUCGCUGCAGCCUCCAUUGCGUAGUAGCUAACACCUCGCAACUGGAACGCGGCGCGGCCAUGCCGUAAAACCCCAACUUCUGAAUGUUGACCUCGGAUCAGGUAGGAAUACCCGCUGAACUUAAGCAUAUCAAUAAGCGGA
rnacentral:misc_RNA from 1 species